rnacentral:tRNA from 1 species
AAAAAGAUAAGCUAUUAAGCUUUUAGGUUCAUACCCUAAAUAUAAAGGUUUAAUCCUUUUCUUUUUA